GAAGUGCCAGGUUUUUUCUUUAGCUCUUCACAUUUUCUAAAUUUGCAGAUCUGGUGUCCCGUUUUGCGGUUCCUGCAACUGCUGCAGACGCCACAGUUGAUGAGCCUCUUGCAGGGCACGCAGACCCCACACCUUUUCCUCUUCUUCUUGGCCGGGUUGGCUCCGCCAGCUCCCCCCGAGGAGGACGAAGAGGAGGAGGAAUGAUUCUGCGGGCAGUCUGCCAGAUUGGCAAUUUGAAACGCACUGUCUGUGACGGCUGCUGAGGCUGCUGCGGGGGAGUGAAGGGCUGUCAUGACGAUGACCCCUGGAGAUGCUUUUGAAUUCUGGAAGGAAUCUUCUCUGAAAGACUAGAAUCGUGCAUCUGCCGUGCCUUUCAAUUUUGUAUUUCGGAUUAACUGCUCCUUUUCCUCCACGUUCUGAAGGCCUUCUAAGACAUUUCCUCCCCAGUUCAUCUGAGAAGCCUUCAGACCUGAAAUAUACCAAAGGCUGCAAUGGGGCGGUAUGGGAAGUGGAUGGUGAGAUUUUCUUAAGUGCCGGUGCAUAUGCUUUGUGUUGUGGUGACCAUGGAGGUGUGCUGCCCAUCUCUCCUUUGAAAGGCUGUGCUGUGAGAACACAGCUGACUGGCAGCUGCUGCACCUUCUGAUACCCUCCCAGGCUGCUCAGAGCCAAGGACCAAGCACAGCUAGGGUGCCAGAGCAGGGCCUCAUUUGCUGGAUAUGGGACUCUUUCAAUGGGCAGCCUUGACUUGGGGACUCCCACCAGCUUGGCUGAGGCUUUCUCAGA